rnacentral:lncRNA from 1 species
UAUGCGUUAAAUAAUCACAAGUACGGCAUAUUAAAAAUGUUUAGACGCGUCAAAUACUAAACAGUACGGUGUAUUAAAAAUAUUAAUACGCGUCAAAUACUAAGCAGUACGGCAUAUUAAAAAUAUUAAUACGCGUCAAAUACUAAGCAGUACGGCAUCAAAAAAAAAAUUCUAUCAAACAUAUUACUCCCGGCCAUAAUAUUUAGAUGCAUCAAAUACUAAGCAGUACGACAUUAACAGUUGUUCAAAAUAAUGAGCACUACCAAACGCUAAAACAUACUUCUAUAUAUACGUACACACAUAUCCUCAUAAACAUAUACAUUAUAAGAUAAAUACGUGAGAAAUUAGGAUUUACCCUUGAAGCGUGCAAACCCCAACCUCGAGCAGCC